rnacentral:rRNA from 1 species
AUGCAGCUGGUCUCGGGUGGCCACAUUGCGGUGUCGGUUAAUGGGAGGUCUAGCAACUUUUUCCAGAAUUUCAGAGGCCUCAGGCAGGGCGAUCCAGCUUCUCCUAUCUUGUUCAAUUUCGUCGCGGAUGCGCUUUCCAAUAUCUUGUCUAGAGCCGCGGCGGCUGGACACAUCUCCCCGGUCAGCUCCUACCUCAUUCCUGAGGGUGUCUCCCGCCUCAAGUAUGCGGACGAUACAAUUAUUAUGGUGGAGCUUAAUGACCCCUGUUUAUCCCAUCUUAAGUUUCUGCGGCUUUGCUUUGAGGCCUUGUCUGGGCUUAAGAUUAAUUUUUCAAAAAGUGAGGUGAUCAUCACUGGGGUGACGGAGGCUGAGGCAUUGCGAGUCUCUCAAUUACUCAACUGCUUGCUGGGUUCCUUCCCUCUCAGGUAUCUUGGGCUUCCUAUCUCUUCUGACAAACUCUUGGCUAAGGAUUAUGCACCUACGGUGGCUAAAGUAGGCAACCUUGUUAUGCCUUGGAGGGGCAGAUAUAAUACUCAGGCUGGCAAGGUUGCUCUUAUCAAUGCUUGUCUUUCCUCCCUUCCUAUGUUUUUGAUGGGGUUUUAUCUUCUCAGUAACGGCACUCAUGCUGGGUUUGACAAGCACAGGGGUGCUUUCUAUUGGAAUGCUGCUCAUAAUAAAUGCAAGUAUAAAUUGGUUAAAUGGGAUCACAUUUGCCGGCCCAAGAGCCUUGGGGGGCUGGGUAUAAUUAACACCUUGGUUAUGAACAAGUGCUUGAUCAUUAAGUGGUGGUGGAAGAUCAUGACCAUCUCGGAAAACCCUCUUUGGUAUAAUAUUCUCAAGGCAAAAUAA